CCAUCUCUCCCCGGCGCGAUCGACGAGACGCCUCUUCCGCCCGCCCUUCCAAGAUCCUCCACCUACGGUUACCUCCUUGCCGACCUCCACCACCGGAACAGCCUGUCAAACUUCCUGGGAAUCUGCUCAUUGUCGUGUUCAGGUUCAGUUCCGGGAGGGAAUAUUGAAUUGACGUGGUCUCUAUACCUAGAAAUCUCCUCUGAAGAGGAAUCCUGUGCCACAGUAUAUGGAUCUAAUUGGGGUUUCUUCUCCAGAAGCUUAUAGUUUUGCUAUUUUUUGUUGUCAAAGCUCAUUACUUCUAAAUGACAGUUGCGUGAUUGCCCGAGAAAGAUGCCAUGUUUUGGUAUCUGCUAUAAGCAUGUUGAUCCAGCAGAAACAACUGUUGACAGAGAUAUAAGUGGGGUCAAAGUUGGAUCAUGGAUGAAUACUCAUGUCCAUGCAGAUCAUGUCGCAACAACAGGCUUGAUAUAAGAGAAACUUGGAAUAUGCUUAUACACAAUACAUCAUGCAUUUGGUGCAGUAGCUGAUCACAUGAUUGAACAUGGUUUUGAAACAUACUCUGGGGUUCUUCUUCUGAAGCAGGUUGAAGUAUUUGAGUCAUGGAGGCAAUAAGGAAUGCGUUACUCUCUCCUUGCAGAUCCACUUCAAGAAACAGAUAUAUUAUGAUUAGCAUAUCACUUAUCUUUUAUAAUCCUCACUUCUCUUCUUCAUCUUCCAUUGUACCUUCCCUUCUCCUUUAUUGGCCCAUCAACUGUAGUCUCAUAUGUGUAUAUAGGAUUGAUAUAUUGUAGCUUGCUGCCUAGUCUUGUUCC